AACCAGCGAAAAUUCUGUGGUACAUCAGCUGUACCGGUGCAGCCAGUAAUCCAAAGGCCAGUAUUGCAUUUUAAAAAUGAAGGGCUAAGAUUGAAUGACCGGAAGACUUGUUGUGCCUUUUGUUAUUAAAUAUCACGUGACAUACACGUGACUGAGAAAACAAGUAAAAAGCUUCAACGAAAGCGUCCUCAUCUGUGUCCCCAAAUCAGAAUCUGGGAGUCUCACCUCUGCCGACGCCGAGAUGCAACAGUCAUCGGACAUCGCCGAUUCCGGAAUCACCAUCCACGCAAGGUUUGCCUGCUUAGUUGUCUUCUUUUUCCAUCGGUUCAAUUCAGAAGAUUACUCGGUUUUUGUCUUUGAAGAAUCUUUAUCAAGAAGCUUGGAAGCAAUUGGGUUUUGGGGUUGAUACAUCUGGCAGAUCACCACAUGCUCUCCAUUUGUUUGCUGAAAUGUCACACUCAUGUUGGGUAUGCAAUGGCGGUACUGCACUUCUUGAUUUUGAUCUUGGCUACCAUAUGGGCAUUCGAGACGAUGGUGGUGGUGAGUUUCUCACGAGUUGCUUCAUUGGAGGGUUGAUGACAGAGAGCUUCGCCAGGACUUGUACUUGCUUCGUUUUGUUCCUGUUCAAGAAGCCUCUACGCCAAAUCUAAAAUUGCUCAAGGUUAUACAGGGCUUUAUCAAGAAUUGUUCAGUUGUCAUUUUCCUUGAUUCUGGUAGUUCACGAAAUUUCAUUGGUUUGGCACUAUUCAAAUGGUUAGGGUCCAGGAUUAUGAUUGUGUCCACACUGUUUUUACUCUUCCGUUGGGUAAUUGCAUUCUUGAUUUUGAUGUUGGCUACCUUCUGGGCAUACGUGGCCAAGGUGGUGGAUUUGAAGUUGAUAAUGGGCAUACUGGAAAAGAAGAAAAUUUCUGCAAGGUUUAUGGCUAUGAGCUUGAGUCAUUGAGAGCUUUACUUCUUUCUCCCAGGGCUCAUUCCAAAGGACUUGGAGCCAUUGAUGUGUUAGUGAGCUUUCCAAUAAUUGGGGAGUUUUAUGUGGGUGGGCUGCCAAUCCAGCAGCAGUGAGACCAUGAGUAUUGUUUGGUUCAGCAUCUCUGUAAUUGCAUGCUCUGAUGGUGGCCUUGUUCAAGCCAACCAAUUGAUAUAUUGCUACAACAAUAUGAGUUCAAUGGCACACAUCCAUCACUGAAAUGGCAGCAACUUGUUGGUUCGAAUUCCAGAAUUUCAUCCUUGAGGACAAGGAUUGUUUUUGUGGGGAGGGUAGAUAGGAAUCUCUAUAUAAGCUGGAACUAGGUUAGUUGUUAACCAUUAGUUAGGCUAUGCUUAGUUGACAGUUGGUUAGGUUAACUCUAUAUUAACUAAGUGAGUCUGUAUUUGAGGGAGUUAGUUGAGAAAUUGUAUCUUUUUCUUUGUGAAAGAAAUAAUAUCAUUGCUCUUGAGAUAUUGAGUUAAAGUAGAAGGCAGGUACUAUCAAUUUAUACAAGAACUGCUAAAACUCUAAACCUAAGAUCGAAGUGGAGGAUAACGCAGAGGCCAAUGCACAAUGAUGGCUUCCUGCACACACUAGGCUUCACUUUCUCACCUGCUUCCCGUAGGGUGCAACUUGAGAGUGGAAAAUUCAAUGUUUUCCAACUCCUCCUUUAGGCCACAGGUAACUUCCGGAAUGCAAAAAAUGGCAGCAGUUGGCGAAUGUAGUGCCGAAGGAAAUUGGUACGAAAGGGAAAACUCCAAUUGACUGCUUGCGUAAUCUUUCUUGUUAAUAGUGUGAAUUAUAUGACAAAACAAAGAAAUUUAAUUUGGGAACCCAAUUUUAGAGUUUUCACAUGUCUAAAUUGAAAUGUUUUUGUAAGUGAAAGCUCAUCAUGAAAAAGGUAUAGAGUUAUGUAAGUUAUCGUAAACUCAUGUUUUCAUACUCUCUCUCUCCCUAAACCCAGGUUUUGGAUGCACAGUUCUGUUUCUAAUUGAAGCUUAAUAUGCUUUGGAAAUUAGAUUCUUUAAAGUGGGUUUUUCUUCAGGGUAUUCUGAAAGCAAAACCCAACAAUCUCAGCUACAUUUUUUUGAAAGAAUUACCUAAAUUGGUGGUAUGUUUCUGCUAUUGAGUCAAAUUUUGUUUUUGGUUUUCCCUAGUAGGAAGUAGUUUCUAUGACGUGGCUCUUUUGCUAUGCAAUCACCAGGCUUCUGGUUUGUAAUCUUCAGUACUCCAUGAUUUUAAUUAACAUUGCCAGUCAAGAAAUCGUUUUUAGGAAGGUGAAUUCCCAAUGUGGUUUUUUCAAGGGCUUUCAAGAGACCAACUCAAUCACUUGAAAAGAUAAUGGAUGUUAUGAGGGAAGAGCUUCCUAACACAAUGGCUGCUGUUCGUAUAUCCGGGAUAGAGCUCAGUGUCUUGGGUUGCCAUUACCAUUUCAAAGAUUGUAUUGCUAAAUCUGAAGGGGUAUGCUCACUUGGACUUUUCAUGCAUACUUGGUGAGAUUCUCACCUUCUUCUGAGAGCCUAAUAUUUAGGGGCUAACAUUUGUGUACUCUACAAGUUAAAAUUGAGCUAAAUGUAUUACAAAAUAUUUUAGGUAAAGUGUUUUCUUUGCUUCU